GACGUAAUUAUCGGAAGGGUGUAUUACAGAACUACUUUGUAAUUUCAUCUCGGCAAGCGGGAUGAAACCCUCUAUAUGAACGCACGGAAAUAUUCCUCUCGCUUGGCAAACCUCUCGGUAAGUGGGAUCAUACGAACAAAGGGAGGUUUUCAAGAUAGUAAACUAUUCCCAGCGGUCCCCCACUCCUUCAAGUCAGUAUGGGAGUUUCUGCAGUCGAGCUCAGUCGGAGGAAUGAAGGUAUGGGAUUGUGUGGGGUUAGGAAGGACAGGAAAAGACUGAUGUCCUAAUGGUGAAGGAGUGGAGAAACGUCACAGGCAGAAAUACGCUUCCCAACAGGGUGCACUCGUUCUUGGUCGCAGAAUGACUGAUCUAUGUUAGUUGGAUACUCACUUAAAUACGUGUGGAUACCGGCAAUGAGAAUUGUUCAAAAUUUAAAUUCAUAGUCCGCUUUAGUUUAGGGUUAGGAUUGAGGUUAGGUUUCAGGUAAGACGAAUAAAAUGUGUUUUGUUAUAGCCUUAUAGGGAAAACAGGGUCCGAUACUCUGGCUACGUUAAAGUAAAGGGUAGGCUAGGUUUGCACGACUGAACCACGUCGUGGGCGAUGUGAGCUGGUAAAGGCUCUAAAGCACUUGUCAAUAUCUAAUGAUGACAUGGCUUAACGGACAUGGUACCCUCGUCAGCACGUGACGAACUUGCAUGGACAAUAGAGAGAUUCAGGUUUUGGCUUCCAGAACCAUGCCACUAUCAUCAACCAAUCAGAUGCGUAUUCAGCCAGUGAGAGGUAUUGGAGGUGAAAUCUCUAAUGUCGUUAUUAUUUCUAGUAAGGCGCAUAUCACCAACUCAAACGUACACAAUACUAUAGCAAUAUACAGUAUAAGCAAUAGCAGAGCAAAGAAGGAGAAAUAACAGUUGUUGUUAUAUAGCUAGCGUGAACAC